rnacentral:rRNA from 1 species
AGAGUUCGAUCCUGGCUUAGGACGAACGCUGGCGGCGUGCUUCAUACAUGCAAGUCGAACGAGAAACUAACUUCGGUUAGUGGAAAGUGGCGGACGGGUGAGUAAUAUGUAGAGAAUCUGCCCUAGAGAGGGGGACAACCGUUGGAAACGACAGCUAAUACCCCAUAUGAGCGUAACUGAAAUGUUAUUCUUGAAAACUCCGGUGCUCUAGGAUGAGUCUGCAUCUGAUUAGCUAGUUGGGGGUGUAAUGGACCACCAAGGCGACGAUCAGUAGCUGGUUUGAGAGGAUGAUCAGCCACAAUGGGACUGAGACACGGCCCAUACUCCUACGGGAGGCAGCAGUAGGGAAUUUUGCGCAAUGGGCGAAAGCCUGACGCCAGCAACGCCGCGUGAUCGAGACGCUUUUCGGAGUGUAAAGAUCUGUCACAGGGGACGAACAAUGACGGUACCCUGAGAGGAAGCACCGGCUAACUCCGUGCCAGCCGCAGC